rnacentral:rRNA from 1 species
AACGUAGGAGGCAAACGUUAUCCGGAUUUACUGGGUGUAAAGCGCGUGCAGGCGGCUUUGUAAGUGGUGCGUGAAAGCGCUCAGGCUCAACCGGGCGAGGACGUGCCAAACUGCGAAGCUAGAGGCAGGUAGAGGCGUGUGGAAUUCCGGGUGUAGUGGUGAAAUGCGUAGAGAUCCGGAGGAACACCAGUGGCGAAGGCGACACGCUGGGCCUGACCUGACGCUAAGACGCGAAAGCAUGGGGAGCGAACGGGAUUAGAUACCCCCGUA